rnacentral:rRNA from 1 species
GACGAACGCUGGCGGCGUGCCUAAUACAUGCAAGUCGAACGCAGUGGGGACGGGUUAGUAACACGUGGGUAACCUCCCAUCAGAGGGGAUAACACUUGGAUACAGCUGCUAAACCGAUACUGAUGGAUGGACCCGCUGUGCAUUAACUAGUUGGUGAGGUAACGGCUCACCAAGGCCCCUAUGCAUAGCCGACCUAAGAGGGUGAUAGGCCACACGGGGACUUGUACACGGGCCAGACUCCUCAGUGAGGCAGCAGUAGGGAAUCUUAUGACAUGGACGAAAGUCUGACCGAGCAAAGCCGCGUGAGUUAAGAAGGUUUUCGGAUCGUAAAACUCUGUUGUUAGAGAAGCGGUAUCUAACCAGAGAGCCACGGCUGACUACGUGACAGCAGCCGCGGUGAUAG